rnacentral:rRNA from 1 species
CUACAGGCUUAACACAUGCAAGUCGAGGGGCAGCAUGGUCUUAUCUUGCUAAGGCCGAUGGCGACCGGCGCACGGGUGAGUAACACGUAUCCAACCUGCCGUCUACUCUUGGACAGCCUUCUGAAAGGAAGAUUAAUACAAGAUGGCAUCAUGAGUCCGCAUGUUCACAUGAUUAAAGGUAUUCCGGUAGACGAUGGGGAUGCGUUCCAUUAGAUAGUAGGCGGGGUAACGGCCCACCUAGUCUUCGAUGGAUAGGGGUUCUGAGAGGAAGGUCCCCCACAUUGGAACUGAGACACGGUCCAAACUCCUACGGGAGGCAGCAGUGAGGAAUAUUGGUCAAUGGGCGCAGGCCUGAACCAGCCAAGUAGCGUGAAGGAUGACUGCCCUAUGGGUUGUAAACUUCUUUUAUAAAGGAAUAAAGUCGGGUAUGUAUACCCGUUUGCAUGUACUUUAUGAAUAAGGAUCGGCUAACUCCGUGCCAGCAGCCGCGGUAAUACGGAGGAUCCGAGCGUUAUCCGGAUUUAUUGGGUUUAAAGGGAGCGUAGAUGGAUGUUUAAGUCAGUUGUGAAAGUUUGCGGCUCAACCGUAAAAUUGCAGUUGAUACUGGAUAUCUUGCGUGCAGUUGAGGCAGGCGGAAUUCGUGGUGUAGCGGUGAAAUGCUUAGAUAUCACGAAGAACUCCGAUUGCGAAGGCAGCCUGCUAAGCUGCAACUGACAUUGAGGCUCGAAAGUGUGGGUAUCAAACAGGACUAGAUNCCCUGGUAGUCCACACGGGUAAACCCUAAAUACUUGGCUGUUUGGGAUAUACAGCAAGCGGCCAAGCGAAAGCGUUAAGUAUUCCACCCGGGGAGUACGCCGGGCAACGGUGAAACUCAAAGGAAUUGACGGGGGCCCGCACAAGCGGAGGAACAUGUGGUUUAAUUCGAUGAUACGCGAGGAACCUUACCCGGGCUUAAAUUGCAGAUGAAUUACGGUGAAAGCCGUAAGCCGCAAGGCAUCUGUGAAGGUGCUGCAUGGUUGUCGUCAGCUCGUGCCGUGAGGUGUCGGCUUAAGUGCCAUAACGAGCGCAACCCUUGUUGUCAGUUACUAACAGGUUCCGCUGAGGACUCUGACAAGACUGCCAUCGUAAGAUGUGAGGAAGGUGGGGAUGACGUCAAAUCAGCACGGCCCUUACGUCCGGGGCUACACACGUGUUACAAUGGGGGGUACAGAGGGCCGCUACCACGCGAGUGGAUGCCAAUCCCAAAAACCUCUCUCAGUUCGGACUGGAGUCUGCAACCCGACUCCACGAAGCUGGAUUCGCUAGUAAUCGCGCAUCAGCCACGGCGCGGUGAAUACGUUCCCGGGCCUUGUACA